UUAAGUUCAGCGGGUAUCCCUACCUGAUCCGAGGUCAAACAGAUAAAAUGGGGGGUUAACGGCGGAAGAUUUGUCCAUAUCGCAGCGAAACAUAAAUGUUGAUUACUACGCUUUUUGGAACAGACAGCUUCGCCAUUGAUUUUCGGAUAGGAAUGGCACAUGUCCACUCCGAUUCCAAUACCAAGUCAUGAAUAAAUUCA
rnacentral:misc_RNA from 1 species